CCUACGGGGGGCUGCAGUGAGGAAUAUUGGUCAAUGGACGAGAGUCUGAACCAGCCAAGUAGCGUGAAGGAUGACUGCCCUAUGGGUUGUAAACUUCUUUUAUAUGGGAAUAAAAUGUUCCACGUGUGGGAUUUUGUAUGUACCAUAUGAAUAAGGAUCGGCUAACUCCGUGCCAGCAGCCGCGGUAAUACGGAGGAUCCGAGCGUUAUCCGGAUUUAUUGGGUUUAAAGGGAGCGUAGGGGUAUUGUGAAGUCAGUUGUUAAAGUUUGCGGCUCAAGCGUAAAAUUGCAGUUGAAACUGGAAGUCGUGAGUAUAGUAGAGGGGGGCGGAUUGCGGGUUGUAGCGGGGAAAUGUUUGGAGAUCACGAAGAACUCCGAUUGCGAAGGCAGUUCACUGGACUGCAACUGACACUGAUGCUCGAAAGUGUGGGUAUAAAACAGGAUUAGAUACCCGUGUAGUC
rnacentral:rRNA from 1 species